rnacentral:rRNA from 2 species
ACGGGAGGCAGCAGUGGGGAAUAUUGCACAAUGGGGGAAACCCUGAUGCAGCGACGCCGCGUGAGUGAAGAAGUAUUUCGGUAUGUAAAGCUCUAUCAGCAGGGAAGAGAAUGACGGUACCUGACUAAGAAGCCCCGGCUAACUACGUGCCAGCAGCCGCGGUAAUACGUAGGGGGCAAGCGUUAUCCGGAUUUACUGGGUGUAAAGGGAGCGUAGACGGCAUAGCAAGUCUGAAGUGAAAUACCCGGGCUCAACCCGGGAGCUGCUUUGGAAACUGUUAGGCUGGAGUGCUGGAGAGGCAAGCGGAAUUCCUAGUGUAGCGGUGAAAUGCGUAGAUAUUAGGAGGAACACCAGUGGCGAAGGCGGCUUGCUGGACAGUAACUGACGUUGAGGCUCGAAAGCGUGGGGAGCAAACAGGAUUAGAUACCCUGGUA